rfam:Punctularia strigosozonata HHB-11173 SS5 unplaced genomic scaffold PTNSTscaffold_15, whole genome shotgun sequence.
GGCAGACUGGCCUAAUGGUCAAGGCGUCGGUUUCCGGAUAAUUUCAGUCCGUAGCCGGAGAUUCUGGGUUCGAUCCCCAGGUUUGUCG